CCUACGGGAGGCAGCAGUGAGGAAUAUUGGUCAAUGGACGAGAGUCUGAACCAGCCAAGCCGCGUGAAGGAAGACUGCCCUAUGGGUUGUAAACUUCUUUUAUAUGGGAAUAAAACGGUCUACGUGUGUGAAUUUGAAAGUACUGUACGAAUAAGGAUCGGCUAACUCCGUGCCAGCAGCCGCGGUAAUACGGAGGAUCCGAGCGUUAUCCGGAUUUAUUGGGUUUAAAGGGUGCGUAGGCGGAAUGUUAAGUGAGGUGUGAAAGGUGCGGGCUUAACCGGGGAAUUGCAUUUGAAACUGGCGAUCUUGAGUGCAGGAGAGGUAGGCGGAAUGUGUGGUGUAGCGGUGAAAUGCUUAGAUAUCACGCAGAACACCGAUUGCGAAGGCAGCUCACU
rnacentral:rRNA from 1 species